CCAGUGUUGCCAACAUGGCGACAAACCCCCUCGGCGUUAUUUCCUCAAAAGCGACUAGCAACUUUUUCUGGCGUUGUUGGAAGGUGUUGAUGUCGGUGGUUGGGGACAGCGCAUCAAGAAUCCCAUCUUCAAUGAAGGGUGACAGAAGGUGUAGAGAUGGCCGAGGCACGGAAGUUGGCGGGCAAUGUUUCAGAGGAGUCGGAGGUCACACCACGGAGGUCCUUCUCCCUGAACAUCUUCCUCCACGAGGGUGACCGUGUGAACGUUUUGGUGCCGUCCUAUGGAACACCCGACACGGAAAUAACAGUGAUUCACAAUAACAGCUGUCUUCAUGUUGUUGUGACUAUAGACCACCAGUGGCUGAAUUAUACAGUACAUGGGACAUGGUUAGCAGUGAUGUAAACACAGCUGAAGCACCAACAGAAAGAAAAUUCAACACAUCAUUUUGACUGAUUAUUCUGCAGACAGUACCUCGUCUGGCCUCCUCUCUGUUCCCAUGGAAAUAAGAGCAUUGUACUCUUUCUCCAAAAGCUGCCGUGCCUGCAAAACCAGCAAAAGAUGAAAUCAUAUGAAGAUGCUCAAUGCAAAGUUUCUCACAGAUAAAUCUGGCUAACUUCCUACAUAUAGAUUUGAUGAUUUGUUCACACCUGUGUAUUCUGGUUGGGUAUCUGGAGAAGAAGAGCCAAGUCGGUGUAGUCAAAGGUGUCAUCGAGCGCCAGCAGGGCCCCAUGGACUCCACUUUCUAACAGGUUGUCUGCAAACUCUUUGAGACCAAUAGCUUGCACCCAACACAUCACACGUUCGUUGGACCACACCAUCACAUCUAAAGAGGAGGCCAUAGUCAGGAAGUUGUAAAGUAUUCCUAAACAACUAUGUAGUGUUUCCAGGCCCUCCAUGGGUCACCUUGGUUCUGAUGCUGACUCUCCUCCCUCCUCCUCUCCAGCUCCUUUCUGUCGUAGUUCAAGCGCUUCAAGCACAUGAUGCCAUAGUGAAGACUCACCCUGCAGAGAUACAACGAUAUGACCAAGAAGACGCCAAAGGAAGGGGAAUAAUGAAAGAGAAAAAGGUUGGCCAUGAUGGCGCCGCUCUUCACGUUGGCACGACACGCUGCCACGUACCAUGCCGGCAUUCCGACCCACAACUGCAUUAAACAGGCAAGACAAACAAGUUCAUUAUUUUUCUGUAUC